GAUGUGAUUGAUUCUGAUGAAGAAUUGGACUUGGCUUCAAUGGUAACUGCUAAAUAGAGAGCAUCUGAGGUUUUUAAAAUGGGAAAAUCAGCAAUUUUGGAGUUGUUGGUGUAUUCUCUCCAUGAUUUUGUUGUGUGUCAAUUAUUUGUUACUUCAAGUAGAUUUUUUUUUUGGGCUAGCUGCCUUGAAUGUGGAAUAAUACAAGUUAUAAUGAUUUUUAUUGUAUAAAUUUGUCAGUUUGUUGUUUUCCUUUCUGUUUGUUUAUGAUGGUUUUGUAUUUCCAAGAAAAAGGUAACUCUGGCAGAGUUUGAUCGGAUGUUAAAA
rnacentral:misc_RNA from 1 species